AAAGGGACAGAAAUUGUGCACUCAGGGAGCUCGGAUUUUAAGACGCUAGUCUGCCAACGCUUCCAGCUGAAUAAAGCCCCUUCCUUCUACAACUUGGUGUCUGAGGGGUUUUGUCUGUGGCUUGUCCUGCUACUUUUCUUGGUUCCCUGACUGGGAAAUGAGGUGAUUAACUGACAGACGGUCGAGGCAGCCCCUUAGGUGGCUUACCCUUCCCUGUGGAGCAUCCCUGCGGGGGACUCUGGCCAGCUUGAGCGAUGCGGAUCCUGAAAGGGCUCCUGGGUAGGCCUUUUCCCCGGUGGAACACAUCAUCAGAGCGGUGCAUGGCAGGUCCCCACAGAGGAUCAACGUAGUGGCUGAACACCAGGAAGGAGCUGGCACUUGGAGUUCGGACAUCUGAAACUCGUCUUAGGUAUUUCUUUAUAGGAACGCAAAAACAGAGAAUUUUGUCAGGAUCAUGGGAUUAGAUUGCAACUCUGGACAGAGCAGCAUGUGGAGGCUUGCACUGUGCAUUUUAGCUCCAGAUCAACUGCAAGAACAAACGGGCAAUACUGAGAGGACCCACAGACCCUCUGAAGGAAGUGG
rnacentral:lncRNA from 1 species